ACGGCUCAGUAACACGUAGUCAACCUACCCUAUAGCCGGUCAUACCCUCGGGAAACUGAGGUUAACAACCGAUAGAUGAUGAUUUCUGGAACGAUUUAUCGUCGAAAGUUCAGCGAUAGGAUGGGACUGCGGCUGAUUAGGUAGUUGGCGGGGUAAAUGCCCACCAAGCCGAUGAUCAGUAAGGGCUCUUAGCGGAGAAGCCCUGAGAGGGAGUCUGAGACACUACUCCCAGCCCUACGGGGUGCAGCAGUCGGGAAACUUCUGCAAUGCGCGCAAGCGUGACAGAGCAAGUCAGAGUGCUUCUCAUUAUGAGAAGCUUUUAUGAGAUGUAAAAAGUCUCAAGAAUAAGGACUGGGCAAGACUGGUGCCAGCCGCCGCGGUAAUCCCAGCAGUCCAAGUCGCAGCCACAAUUAUUGGGUCUAAAACAUCCGUAGCUCGCUUUGUAAGUCUUUUGUGAAAUCUGGCCUCUCAAGGGUCGGGCGCGCAAAAGAUACUGCAUAGCUAGAGAUCGGGAGAUGUAAGGAGUAUGAACAGAGUAGCAGUAAAAUGCGUUGAUCCUAUUCAGACUAACAAUAGCGAAGGCACCUUACAAGAACGAAUCUGACAGUGAGGGAUGAAGGCUAGGGGCGCAAAUUGGAUUAGAUACCCAAGUAGUCCUAGCAGUAAACCCUGCACACUAAACAUUGGGGCCUCCUCGAGAGGUCUCAGUGCUGAAGGGAAGCCGGAGAGUGUGCUACCUGGGAAGUAUAGUCGCAAGACCGAAACUUAAAGGAAUUGGCGGGGGAGCAC
rnacentral:rRNA from 1 species